CCACUUCACAAAGAUAAGACAGCUGGCAAAACAGCACGCACUCACAAACUACACCCACAAAUUAAAGGACGCAUGACUACUCCAGUAAUCGGGCUGCUCUCAUGGAUAACAUGGAAACCAAUAUCUGCAAUACGAUGUGACAGGGAAGAGUUUGCAGCCUGCUUUGGAGAAGACUAACAUUUGAUUAAACCUAAUGGCCAAAGACUAUACAAAAGUAAGGACUGUGUAACCGG
rnacentral:lncRNA from 1 species